rnacentral:rRNA from 1 species
GGAUGAACGCUGGCGGCGUGCCUAAUACAUGCAAGUCGAGCGAACGGACGAGAAGCUUGCUUCUCUGAUGUUAGCGGCGGACGGGUGAGUAACACGUGGAUAACCCACCUAUAAGACUGGGAUAACUUCGGGAAACCGGAGCUAAUACCGGAUAAUAUUUUGAACCGCAUGGUUCAAAAGUGAAAGACGGUCCUGCUGUCACUUAUAGAUGGAUCCGCGCUGCAUUAGCUAGUUGGUAAGGUAACGGCUUACCAAGGCAACGAUGCAUAGCCGACCUGAGAGGGUGAUCGGCCACACUGGAACUGAGACACGGUCCAGACUCCUACGGGAGGCAGCAGUAGGGAAUCUUCCGCAAUGGGCGAAAGCCUGACGGAGCAACGCCGCGUGAGUGAUGAAGGUCUUCGGAUCGUAAAACUCUGUUAUUAGGGAAGAACAUAUGUGUAAGUAACUGUGCACAUCUUGACGGUACCUAAUCAGAAAGCCACGGCUAACUACGUG